UACGUAGGGUGCAAGCGUUGUCCGGAAUUAUUGGGCGUAAAGAGCUCGUAGGCGGUUUGUCGCGUCUGCUGUGAAAACCCGAGGCUCAACCUCGGGCCUGCAGUGGGUACGGGCAGACUAGAGUGCGGUAGGGGAGACUGGAAUUCCUGGUGUAGCGGUGAAAUGCGCAGAUAUCAGGAGGAACACCGGUGGCGAAGGCGGGGUCUCUGGGCCGUAACUGACGC
rnacentral:rRNA from 1 species